UCAGAUUGAUCACUGAACAAUUUGUUGAAAAUUUGUUUUUUAGUACCAUGAAAAAAGGUAUCGUCUUUCGAUUGAUAAAUUUCUAUUGGAAAUGCAAUUUCAUGUGUAGUCUUGAAAAAGAGAAAAGAAGUUAGUAAAACUUGGUCCCCAUGAUCGGAAUAGGUACAUAGAAUAUGAUGCCAUAAUAGGGAAUCUUCUAUGAAAAUGAAAGCAUUUAGAUGUGUGCUGAAAAUUCUGUGGAAAACUCUAAU
rnacentral:lncRNA from 1 species